AUUGAACGCUGGCGGCAGGCCUAACACAUGCAAGUCGAGCGAGUGGCGGACGGGUGAGUAAUGUCUGGGAAACUGCCUGAUGGAGGGGGAUAACUACUGGAAACGGUAGCUAAUACCGCAUACCAUCAGAUCUGCCCAGAUGGGAUUGGCUAGUAGGUGGGGGAAUGGCUAACCUAGGCGACGAUCCCUAGCUGGUCUGAGUGGAUGACCAGCCACACUGGAACAGAGACGCGGUCAGGAUUCGUACGAGAGGCAGAAGUGGGGAAUAUUGCACAAUGGGCGCAAGCCUAAUGCAGCCAUGCCGCGUGUGUGAAGAAGGCCUUCGAGUUGUAAAGCACUUUCAGCGGGGAGGCGUUACCCGCAGAAGAAGCACCGGCUAACUCCGUGCCAGCAGCCGCGGUAAUAC
rnacentral:rRNA from 1 species